GACGAACGCUGGCGGCGUGCCUAAUACAUGCAAGUGGGACGCAAGGGAACACACUGUGCUUGCACACCGUGUUUUCUUGAGUCGCGAACGGGUGAGUAACGCGUAGGUAACCUGCCUAUUAGCGGGGGAUAACUAUUGGAAACGAUAGCUAAUACCGCAUAAUAUUAAUUAUUGCAUGAUAAUUGAUUGAAAGAUGCAAGCGCAUCACUAGUAGAUGGACCUGCGUUGUAUUAGCUAGUUGGUAAGGUAAGAGCUUACCAAGGCGACGAUACAUAGCCGACCUGAGAGGGUGAUCGGCCACACUGGGACUGAGACACGGCCCAGACUCCUACGGGAGGCAGCAGUAGGGAAUCUUCGGCAAUGGACGAAAGUCUGACCGAGCAACGCCGCGUGAGUGAAGAAGGUUUUCGGAUCGUAAAGCUCUGUUGUAAGUCAAGAACGUGUGUGAGAGGGAAAGUUCACACA
rnacentral:rRNA from 1 species